rnacentral:lncRNA from 1 species
GGUAUUUCGGUAAUUUAUCUCCUAGGGGUAAAACUGUAAAUUUUCCACUUUUAAAGGUAUUUCAGUAAUUUAUCUAUUUUAGGGUUUUUCAUGCAUAUUCCUACCUUUCACGUACUAACAGAAUCACUACCGAGGGUUCUUACCAAAUUGGGCCCGUUGGCCCAUCAUUCCAAUUUUGGCCCAUUAAGCCCAAAAAUAUCGAGGGCACAGAAAUCAUGCACUUUGCAG